rnacentral:rRNA from 1 species
GACGAACGCUGGCGGCGUGCUUAACACAUGCAAGUCGAACGGUGAAGUAGAGCUUGCUCUAUGGAUCAGUGGCGAACGGGUGAGUAACACGUGGGCAACCUGCCCCAGACUCUGGGAUAACUCCUCGAAAGAGGGGCUAAUACCGGAUAUUUGCAUUGCAAGACAUCUUGUGAUGCAGAAAGAAUUUCGGUCUGGGAUGGGCCCGCGGCCUAUCAGCGUGUUGGUGAGGUAACGGCUCACCAAGGCGACGACGGGUAGCCGGCCUGAGAGGGCGACCGGCCACACUGGGACUGAGACACGGCCCAGACUCCUACGGGAGGCGGCAGUGGGGAAUAUUGGGCAAUGGGCGCAAGCCUGACCCAGCAACGCCGCGUGAGGGAUGAAGGUCCUCGGAUUGUAAACCUCUUUCAGCAGGGACGAAGCGAAAGUGACGGUACCUGCAGAAGAAGCACCGGCUAACUACGUGCCAGCCGCCGCGGUAA